rnacentral:tRNA from 1 species
UGUUAAAGUGGCAGAGUAGUGCAAGGAAUUUAAGCUUCCUAUAUGAGUAUUCCUUUAAUAG